UGAAGACCCGUCCGUCUCCAGGAGUGACACGAGGAGUAAAGUCCAACCUCUGACCACCAGAAAAUAAUGAGCACAGUCCUGUUACUUAUGCAGCAUGUUUAUGUGUUCAGAUUCUUACCAUGACACCUGCUGUAUCAUGUGACAACAGUAUUGCAUCGUGGAGGUCGUCUGUCACUCUGGGUUCAUCUAAUGAUGGCUGGCACAGUUCAGUUUUUCUUUUUUUUUUUAAGUAUUGACACAAUUUAAGUUUCAGCUGGUUUGCAUCAUUCCAAAAAACACCUUUUAGUUGAGCAUCAGCAGCCAUGUCAAGGUGUGUUUUUUUCUUUUCUCAUUUCAGGCAUGAUAUGUGACAGAUAGAUACUUUAUUCAUCCCUCUGGGGAAAUUCAAGGAAUCCAACAGCUCACACGUUACAUUAAAGAUAAGGGGGAAAAAUGUACAAAGGAACGUGCAAAUCGUGCUGGUCAAAGAAAUAGAGAUAGAAAGAAGGUGCCAAAAAAUACUGGUAUUUACAAAAAAGGUGCAAAAUUGUCGCUAUUUACUAUAAGGUAUGAAAUUGCUGAUAAUAUUGCUGAUAUAUGAAUUGUUCUGUUAAAAUUUAAAGCAAAAAACAGACAUCAGAAAUGGAUUUUUAUUCAAAAUUACUGAUGAAAUUUAAUUUACUCUUAGAAAAUUUCUGAAGGAGCUCAGAAGCUGUCCACUAAUGUUUGGUGCUCAACAAAUCAGAAGCAAAUAAAAAUGAAGGCUAAAAGGCACAAAAUGUUCUGUUUUAAAUGAAUGCUCUUGGAAACUUCUAAUUGCUAGUAUUACUUUGUGUUUUCUGAAUGAAUAGUUUUGAAAAGCCUAGAACUGCUACCACUAAAAUAAGAAAUGGAAGGACGGACAGCUGAAGUCUGCUGUCAUCAACAUUUUUCCUCUAACAACCAUGAGUGUCAUGCAGAAGAGUCCGCAUAUAAACACGCAGACGGACAUCUUGCAUGUGACCUUCACCGGCUAUAAAUCGAACUUCAAGAGAGAGGGCAAUGCCCAGAGCAGGAUGUGAAAGCAAACGUCUCCCUUUAAAAGCUGCCAGCCAGAGUCGAACAGAGGGAAGGAAUGUUCUAGGGCCUUAACAAAACCAGAUGCCCCGGCUUACUCUGCCUUGCACACAUGCUUCGUGCUGCCUUCUCUCGCUCCUCUCAUUCCUGCUUAACACCACAGAUGGAACCAAGAACUGGGCAGACUCUUCUCCUCAGCCAGUCUAAAGUACACCGUCUACCUUUUACUGGCUCCUAGGUCUAUCUGUGCCCCAAUCUCCUUAUCUUCUUGUCUGCUCCUCUUUACCUCUGAGUCAUUAUGCUUGGCAGACCUUUUCCUCAUCCUCCUUCACUUCAGUGAAGACGCGCACAAACAUGGGAAACUCCGACACGGGAUUAUUCCACUCUCUUUCCGUACAUCCUCUCCAAGUAGCACUGCCAGUACCUUGCAUUAAUGCGUCAUAACGUUGCAUCUAAGGGUCACGCCUUGACCUUCCGUGCUGUGUAGGUUUGUUUCAGGUCAGGGGCUCAGCAGCCUGAGCCCCUCCCAGAGAGUUGGCCUGUGAGUGCAUUAAGAGAUUGCAGAAAGGAGGGAUGCACGAGGAGAAGCAGCUGCAGGGAGAUGAAUCCACCUGACCCAGCAGGAUGGGACCACUUUGCUUUCUGGUAGGACGUAUUUGAAAGCAAUGUGUGCAUCCAUCCACCACCCUUUCCUCUCUAUCCCAUUCAGAUGAAACCAGCCUGUGCUACUAGACCUGGGUGGCCUGUACCUGCGCCAGAUGUUUUGCCAGCUGUGGCGGACCAAAGAACUACAGACUCUUCACAACCUGCUCAAACUCUUGGUACAGGACCUCACCACACGGGUCAAGAAGGUUUCUGUCUCAUUUCUACUCUGAAGCUCACCUUCUCCUGCUCAAACUGCUGACAAAUGUUUCUGCUGCUCUAAAGUCUGGUCUCCAGAACUUCCUAAAAACUCUCAAAGUCUCUUCUGCUGCAGGUUGCUUUGUAGAACUGUUCCAGAAAACCUCACUAAACCACAUGGAGGGGCCUCAAGAUAGUCGUCCAAAUGAAAC
ensembl:lncRNA